GAGUGCUUAUAGGAGGAAUUGGGGUUUCAGAAUCCACUCUGGCUCUGAAAUCUUACUUAUAUUGGCUGGGGGUUUCAGCUGGUGGUUUGAGCUGCGAGGGAGUUUAAUCUACUACUUAUUGCUGAUUCCUGGGUGUUAUCUCCUUAUGAUGCACAUCUGGACAGCAUGGGAAAAUAAAUAGCUAUUGUAUUCUUACACAAUCACAGAAACGCAACAGCCUCAACUUGAUACAAGGACAUACUUUUGUUGAAUUUUCCUGUUCUUCUUCUAUCAUCAGACUUUCUAUGGCUGAUUAUAGACCAGAUGAGAUCAUUUCAAGCAACAAGAUACUACUGGUUGUCAUCCCUUAUUGUCUGAAACAGCAGGUGCAGAACAUCUCGGCGUGUUUUGGCUUUAAAUCUGACGGAUGUAUUUUUUGGAUGAUUUUACUUUGCGUUUGUUAUGUAAUAUUUUGAUUUUCUUCAAA